AUUGAACGCUGGCGGCAUGCCUUACACAUGCAAGUCGAACGGUAACAGGUCUUCGGAUGCUGACGAGUGGCGAACGGGUGAGUAAUACAUCGGAACGUGCCUAGUAGUGGGGGAUAACUACUCGAAAGAGUGGCUAAUACCGCAUGAGAUCUACGGAUGAAAGCAGGGGAUCGCAAGACCUUGUGCUACUAGAGCGGCCGAUGGCAGAUUAGGUAGUUGGUGGGAUAAAAGCUUACCAAGCCGACGAUCUGUAGCUGGUCUGAGAGGACGAUCAGCCACACUGGGACUGAGACACGGCCCAGACUCCUACGGGAGGCAGCAGUGGGGAAUUUUGGACAAUGGGCGAAAGCCUGAUCCAGCAAUGCCGCGUGCAGGAUGAAGGCCUUCGGGUUGUAAACUGCUUUUGUACGGAACGAAAAGCCCCGGGUUAAUACCCGGGUGGGAUGACGGUACCCAAAGAAUAAGCACCGGCUAACUUCGUGCCAGCCGCCGCCGUAA
rnacentral:rRNA from 1 species